GGCCCGCCCAUCUCAGGCCGGCAGUCAGCCUCAGGCUCUCCGCUUUGCGUCCCGCCGCCGUGGUGGCGUCUGGGAACCGAAGAUGCAGAAAUGGAGGUUCAGAAAGUCAAAAUGGGGGUCACGUAGCAGUUAUCACCAGUGAUGGGGCAAACGACCUCUAUGCCUCCUGACAUGACACACCGAGAGGAGCACAGCAUCACCUCUGUGAUGUUCCUGCCAAAAGUGCAUACUCUGAAUCUAAUCAAGAAGCAGCACCAGACAAACUCAAUUUGAAGAGCUUCUAUAAAACAAUAAUCUGAAAUCUUUAAAAAAUUAAGGCCAUUAAGGUCAAGGAAGAACUAAGGAAUGGCCCUGGAUUCAAUGAGACUGAAGAAACAUGACAACUGAGAGCAACAUGUGAUCCUGGUUUGGAUCCUCUUGCUAUAA
rnacentral:lncRNA from 1 species